CCUACGGGAGGCAGCAGUGGGGAAUAUUGCACAAUGGGGGAAACCCUGAUGCAGCGACGCCGCGUGAAGGAAGAAGUAUUUCGGUAUGUAAACUUCUAUCAGCAGGGAAGAAAAUGACGGUACCUGACUAAGCAGCCCCAGCUAACUACGUGCCAGCAGCCGCGGUAAUACGUAGGGGGCAAGCGUUAUCCGGAUGUACUGGGUGGAAAGGGCGCGUAGGCGGAUUAGCAAUGCAGCAGUGAAAGCCCGGGGCUCAACUCCGGUACUGAUUUUGAAACUGUUGAACUAGAUUGCAGGAGAGGUAAGUGGAAUUCCGAGUGUAGCGGUGAAAUGCGUAGAUAUUAGGAGGAACACCAGUGGCGAAGGCGGCUUACUGGACUGUAAAUGACGCUGAGGCGCGAAAGCGUGGGGAGCAAACAGGAUUAGAUACCCCAGUAGUC
rnacentral:rRNA from 1 species